CGCGGCCUAUCAGCUUGUUGGUGGGGUAGUGGCCUACCAAGGCGACGACGGGUAGCCGGCCUGAGAGGGCGACCGGCCACACUGGGACUGAGACACGGCCCAGACUCCUACGGGAGGCAGCAGUGGGGAAUAUUGCGCAAUGGGCGAAAGCCUGACGCAGCGACGCCGCGUGAGGGAUGACGGCCUUCGGGUUGUAAACCUCUUUCAGCAGGGACGAAGCGCGAGUGACGGUACCUGCAGAAGAAGCACCGGCUAACUACGUGCCAGCAGCCGCGGUAAUACGUAGGGUGCGAGCGUUGUCCGGAAUUAUUGGGCGUAAAGAGCUCGUAGGCGGUUUGUCGCGUCGACUGUGAAAACCUACAGCUUAACUGUGGGCUUGCAGUCGAUACGGGCAGACUUGAGUUCGGUAGGGGAGACUGGAAUUCCUGGUGUAGCGGUGAAAUGCGCAGAUAUCAGGAGGAACACCGGUGGCGAAGGCGGGUCUCUGGGCCGAUACUGACGCUGAGGAGCGAAAGCGUGGGGAGCGAACAGGAUUAGAUACCCUGGUAGUCCACGCCGUAAACGGUGGGAACUAGGUGUGGGGGGCUUCCACGUCCUCCGUGCCGUAGCUAACGCAUUAAGUUCCCCGCCUGGGGAGUACGG
rnacentral:rRNA from 1 species